UACGUAGGGUGCGAGCGUUAAUCGGAAUUACUGGGCGUAAAGCGUGCGCAGGCGGUUUUGCAAGCCGGAUGUGAAAUCCCCGGGCUCAACCUGGGAAUGGCAUCGGGACUGCAAGGCUGGAGUGCGGCAGAGGAGACUGGAAUUCCUGGUGUAGCAGUGAAAUGCGUAGAUAUCAGGAGGAAUACCGAUGGCGAAGGCAGGUCUCUGGGCUGACACUGACGCUCAUGCACGAAAGCGUGGGGAGCAAACAGGAUUAGAAACCCGCUGU
rnacentral:rRNA from 1 species